rnacentral:lncRNA from 1 species
GAAAAAUCACCUCACCUAAGAGCAAAAAGGAUGCUCAACAAAGUUUAUAAGAGAAUUUCUUGGAACUCUUUGCCGUUUCCUUCCCAAAUAGGAUCAAAAAGUAACUGAAUUGGUGAAUGAAAAUUCUAAGAAGUGCUAUGUCAAUGCUGCAAAGCUGGCAGGGCUCAGACAUAACCUGAUGAUGGAGAAAAAUGUCCUUUGUCUGGCCACACAGCCACACUGAAGCUGGCUUGAUGCUCUGUAGGCAAAGGUGAUGAAACAGAGGGGACAAUGUGCAGAAUGAAAGUCCACAUAAUGAGUGUCUAUCGACGCUACCAUCGCACGAUGUACAGGUGGACGUGUUCAAACAGCAGCCUCAGCACGGCACCAAAUGAGAGUCUCGGAAGCUAGCUCGUCCUGGAUUUUAGAAUUCUAUGACUAAAGAUGCAGAGGCUCAGGAUCAAAGUGAAUCUCUCCUGAUUGUUUUGGUUGUCCAGCCUGGGCCAUCCGACUGUACAGCCAAUGAUUU